rnacentral:rRNA from 1 species
GACGAACGCUGGCGGCGUGCUUAACACAUGCAAGUCGAACGGAAAGGCCCUGCUUGCAGGGUACUCGAGUGGCGAACGGGUGAGUAACACGUGGGUGAUCUGCCCUGCACUUCGGGAUAAGCCUGGGAAACUGGGUCUAAUACCGGAUAGGAGCAAUUUUUAGGGUGAUGGUUGGAAAGUUUUUUCGGUGUAGGAUGAGCUCGCGGCCUAUCAGCUUGUUGGUGGGGUAAUGGCCUACCAAGGCGGCGACGGGUAGCCGGCCUGAGAGGGUGGACGGCCACAUUGGGACUGAGAUACGGCCCAGACUCCUACGGGAGGCAGCAGUGGGGAAUAUUGCACAAUGGGCGCAAGCCUGAUGCAGCGACGCCGCGUGGGGGAUGACGGCCUUCGGGUUGUAAACUCCUUUCGCUAGGGACGAAGCUUUUUGUGACGGUACCUAGAUAAGAAGCACCGGCUAACUACGUG